AGUGAACGCUGGCGGUAGGCCUAACACAUGCAAGUCGAACUGCAGCACAGUAAUAGCUUGCUCUUACGGGUGGCGAGUGGCGGACGGGUGAGGAAUACAUCGGAAUCUACUUUUUCGUGGGGGAUAACGUAGGGAAACUUGCGCUAAUACCGCAUACGACCUACGGGUGAAAGCAGGGGAUCUUCGGACCUUGCGCGAUUGAAUGAGCCGAUGUCGGAUUAGAUAGUUGGCGGGGUAAAGGCCCACCAAGGCGACGAUCCGUAGCUGGUCUGAGAGGAUGAUCAGAAACACUGGAACGGAGACACGGACAAGAAUACGACGGGAGGAAGAAGAGGGGAAGAUUGGACAAUGGGCGCAAGCAUGAUACAGCAAUACCGCGUGGGUGAAGAAGGACUUCGGGUUGUAAAGCCCUUUUGUUGGGAAAGAAAAGCAGCAGGUUAAUACCCCGCUGUUCUGACGGUAACCAAAGAAUAAGCACCGGCUAACUUCGUG
rnacentral:rRNA from 1 species